rnacentral:rRNA from 1 species
GUGACAGCGUGUCUGGAAAUCCCAAUCUCCGCCUCCGCCUCCACCCCGCACCUGCGCCGAACCUAAAACCCUAGCUCGCCUCCCCCCUCCCCGCCCCGCCCCCAUGGCGCCGAAGAAGCGGAAGGCGGAUCCGGCGGCGGCCGCCGGCGCCGACCCCGCCGCCCACCACGAGAAGCCCGAGCAGAAGCCCCGCGUCGGGACCAUCUACUACCCCAUCACCGACGACCCCCCGGAGCCGGCCGCGGACGCCGCCGCCGCCGCCGCUCUGGAGGACGAGGACCUCGCCUACGACUACGAGGAGGAGGACGUCACCAAGCUGCUCGAGCCGCUCUCCCGGGAGCAGCUCGUCGCGCUGCUCCGCGCGGCCGCCGAGGCCAGCCCCGCCACCAUGGCGGCCGUGCGCCGCGCGGCCGAGUCCGACCCCGCCAGCAGGAAGCUCUUCGUGCACGGCCUCGGCUGGGGCGCCGGCGUCGAGGACCUCCGCUCCGCCUUCUCCCGCUUCGGCGAGCUCGAGGACUGCCGCGUCAUCACGGACAAGCAGUCCGGCAAGUCCAAGGGCUACGGCUUCGUCCUCUACCAGUCCCGCACCUCGGCGCUCCGCGCCCUCCGCCGCCCCCAGCUCGAAAUCGGCGGCCGCCUCGCCUUCUGCCACCUCGCCGCCUCGGGCCCCGCUCCCCCGGCCUCCCAGUCCCAGAACCCUAGCUCCAACGCCAACGCCAGCUCGGGCGCCACCAACAACAGCGCCCCCGCUUCCUCCUCCUCGCUGCCUGACAACAUGCAGCGCAAGAUCUUUGUUGGCAACGUGCACGCUGAUGUUGAUGUAAAUCGCCUCUAUGAGUACUUCUCGCAGUUUGGUGAGAUUGAAGAGGGGCCGCUGGGCUUUGACAAGAGCACCGGCAAGCCCAAGGGGUUUGCGCUGUUCGUUUACAAGUCUGUGGACAGUGCUCGCCGUGCCCUGGAGGAGCCUAUGAGGAAUUUUGAUGGCAAGAUGCUCAAUGUGCAGAAGGCCAUAGAUGGGAGGACAAAGGGCUCAUCUGGGUCGAACUCGAAUGCUAACAAUGCCAAUGCCACCGCUGCUUCUACACAAAUGACCGUGCCCUCUAUUGCCGCCAUUAAUCCAUAUGAUCCAUCAGCGUAUGGUGCCACUGCUGUUCAUGACAUGGGGUUCGCCCAGCAAGCUGCCUUGCUGGGGAUGGGUGCACAGCAGCAAGCAUUUGCGCAGCCCAAUACUGCAAUGCUGGCCAUGAUGGCAGCCGCGAUGCAGAACCCAGCCAUGCUUGCAUCGCUAAAUCCAGCUUUUGCUGCUGCUGCAUUGGGCGCCGGGGGGCAAGCUGGCAUUCCUGGUUUUGGAGCUCAGGGCUUUGGGACACAAGGGUUUGGGGCUGCUGGCGUCAAUUUUCCAAAUGCAGCAGGUCUUCAGGGAGCUGCAGCAUAUCAAGGAGGGCCUCCUGGUUUUCAGGGGACACCUGGGUUCCCCACUUCUGCUGGGUUUCAGGUCGGCCAAGCAGCUUCCCAAACGGGCACUACUGCAGCGGCCACUGGUGCUGCUGGUGGUUAUCAGGCUGGGGCUGCUGGGCAGGGCCAAGUGUCCAAUACCCAGAUUGGUGGCACUGGUUUUCAGGGUGGCUAUUGACAGCACUAGGUGUUUCUCCAAUACCGUGGUAUCUUUUGAGUAUUUGAGAAAGAGCUCUGCAUCUCCUUUUUCUAAACCGAACUGGGAAAAACUCUGGUAGAAUUAGCAACUGAAGUAUUCAUUGCCCAGGUAUUAAAUUAAAUGGUUUUGGAAUCACUAUGCUGUAUCUGUUCGGUUCUGGCAAAUAUCUCAUGAGUGCUUCAAUGGUUCUGCCAACAGAUAAAUUUAAUGCCUGAAUGUUUUCCUGCACUAGAAUAUAAAUUUGUUAAACCUUGCCAGUCUAUGAAAUUACUCCCUCCGAUCCAUAUUAAUUGAUGCUAAGUGCGUCAAUUAAUAUGGAUCGGAGGGAGUAGUAAAGUCAAUGGCCAAAUCAGGAUGUAGACAAUCACAUAAAUUGCAGUCCUUUUGGGCCGUGAAGUGAUGAAAGUCACAAGCAACAAACUUUUAUUGGCUAUAUAAACACAUUUCUGCUUGCCCAUAGUCUUAGUUGCCUUUGCCUCUCUUGUCCUUUUGAAGUAGUGGUGGUAAUGCUGCGUUAAAUGUACC